CAUCACUUAACUGUUUUUUAACCUUAAUGCUUAUCAACACACUUUGUGUCAACUAAGCCAAACGGGCUCCAGGUUUCCUCCAUUUUGUUUGCAUAAUAAACUUUCGGAUUUUACAUUGCUUCUCAGCGAUCUCUUCAUCUUCCUCAAAUUGCUUCUAUCUACAGGUAUGUUUUUAAUCAAUUUUGCACCUGUUUUUUGCUUUGCAUCUGAUAAGUUGUCAGUUACCAAAUCUAAACAGUGCACUCCUGCACUUUAUUGUAUUCCAAAUUCGGCAGAAUUCACACUUUCCUUUGAUUCCAAAUUUGAUCCAUUCUACAGAGGCAAAAUCCAUCAUUAUUUGCCAAUAGAACAAAAUUCCCACUUUCUGCCGUCCCAUUCCAACGUCGACUUCAAAAGGGAUAUUUUGCCCAUUUUUUGGUUAUUUGUUUUCGUUCCUUCUAACCAAAUGGCUCAGUUCUUUCAAGGAAUUCAGAAGUGGGUUGGGGAAUUCUUCUUAAAUAGUAUUCAUGUACUUGAUUCAGUGCGUUAUCUGGACUGAAUCCUUGAUCCAAAUGGCUCAGUUCUGGAAUUUGCUCUUUCACUUAAUUUCAGCCCCCAUGCAAAAUUUUGGGUUGAGAUCAAUUCUCGAUCUCAAUCCGCUGAUGAUACUGAUGUGGGAAAAUUUUGAAGUUCAGUGGCUGUUGUAGGUUCUCCCCUCCCCCCCCCCCCCAUUUCUUCUCUGUUGCUCCUCACAUCUUGUUUCCCUUCUUUUAAUUUUUGCCAUAUCUUAAAUUUUCCCUAUUAAUGUUGUAGGUUGCCCCUAUUUUAGGUUCUGUUCACAAAUUUUAAUUUUACAGCUCGAUGGUGUGUGUUAAAUCGAGCGAUAAAAAGCAUGUUUGAUCUCGAAGCGUGCUGAAUUUUGGAUUUGGGUUUUCUCGGUUCUACUUUGCAAUCACAUACUUCUCGACUUUGCAAUUUUCUGGCUGGUGUAUACGCUAAAUUGUAUAGGUCUUAAUUUAAGGUUUUUAUUUAUGAAAUUAUUUGGGCGGCGCUAUCUUUCCCUAACUGAUAGGGACAAUAUGAUCAAACUGGUUGUUGUUUAAUCAUAUCGUGCAUGACUGCUUCUAACUCUUAGGUUGUUCUAAUUUUUCAUUUUUCUCCUCUGUUUUGGUUGGAGUUAUCUAUUACUAAUAGUAUUUUCCCCCGAUUUUUUCUCUUUGUUAUUGCAGUUCUUGCGAUCCGUUGUGAUUGUCGUGUAUCGUGUUAUUCGGUAGCGCCGGAAGGUAAAUUUUCUGACCUCUAAUCAUUUAUGUAUAGGUAUUGUAAGUUUUUGCAUCGAUUCUUUACUUAGUAUAAACAUGCAUGCAUAUUAGCCAAUGUUGAACAUACACUCAGUAAUGUC
rnacentral:lncRNA from 1 species